UACAAGUAUCAAGGUAAAGAAUUUAUUGUGAGAAAAGUAGUUUCAUAAACAUUUGAGCUCUUCCAUACUUCAAACAGCUGUUUGUUCCUGGUACUGGGGGUGGUCCUGGCUCAUGGUGUGGUUCUGGGGGUAGUCCUGGCUCAUGGUGUAGGUGUGGUUCUGGGGGAGGUCCUGGCUCAUGGUGUGGUUCUGGUUCAUGGUGCGGUUCUGGGGGUGAUCCUGGCUCAUGGUGUGGUUUUCCUGGCUCAUGGUGUGGUUCUGGGGGUGGUCCUGGAUCAUGGUGUGGUUCUCCUGGCCCAUGGUGUGGUUCUGGGGGUAGUCUUGGCUCAUGGUGUAGGUGUGGUUCUGGGGGUGGUCCUGGAUCAUGGUGUGGUUCUGGCUCAUGGUGUGGUUGUGGGGGUCGUCCUGGCUCAUGGUGUGGUUCUGGCUCAUGGCGUGGGUGUGGUUCUGG